AAGAGCUUAUCGCUCACGGCAGGUUCAUGAGAGACAUGAUUCAGCAUCCUCAAUGUGGUACUGGUACCGAAAUGACUCAGUAACUACACAUGUUGUGGACCCGUGGAGAAAAGAGGCCAAACUGAAGGUAGGUUUGAGGAGGUGAGUGAUAAACGCAGAUAAACGAAAGAUGCGCACGUGGGUGGAAGAAGUCAGUGGAGUUGAAGAUGUAAAACAAAACAAAAGUGGCAAAAAAAAGGUGCAUUUAAUGAUUAAGAGGGUUCCCCGCACAUAUAAACACGCAUCAAUGUGGAAUUUAUGAUGGCUGUUCAUAUUCAUCAUAACACAACACAAAUGUAAUAGUGGAAGCCAUUUGAGAAGCAUUUUUGUAACAUCUCUCAGUGCGUUUAAAUACACCACUGUUCAAAAGUUUAGGGUAAGCAUGGCUUUUUGUGAAAGAAAUUAUUAUUAUUAUCAUUAUUUUUUUAGCAGGGAUGCAUUCGUUGAUCAAAAGUGGCUGCAAACAUUUAUACGAUUCCUAUUCAUCGAAGAAUCCUGAAAAAAAGUAAAAUGCUCCUGCAAAUACAGAAUUGCUGGAAUAACGAAGACGAACGAGGAAAUCCAAGAUACAAAUUCUGAUGCAAGAAGAGACAAAGUCAUGUGACACAUUUUACUAACUUAUAAUAAUCCUAUUUAUGAGAAAUUAUCUCUGUCUUUUGUUUUUUGUGAUAUUGGCAUACUACCAUUUAAGUUUGACUUUAUUUUUUUGCUAUAGGUUAUAGACCACGCUCUGGGCAGCUUUGCGUGACUUCUGGAUGUUAAACUGAGCUCUUGGCUUUGAGAACUGAAUUCCAAGGGUGUCUUCUUCAUAUUCAGCCCACGGAGUUCAGUUCUUAAGUUUGGAUGCCCUCUGCAUCGGCUCUGACCCGCGACCCGAACAAGCACGCCUGUGUCUGGACCAGAAGCUGGAUAUAAAUAAUGUCGACACAAAAUGACACUUUGUUGGUUUCAACCACAAGAUCUCUCAUUUGUACAACUGGACCGUCUCUGCUUAAUGGAGUGCAGCAGGGAAACAUCAAAACUAGUUUCAGCACGCCAGGUCCAUCGCCAGUAUUUGUAUUGGAAAUAUACAGUAUAUUUUUGUAGUAAUGGGGACAAUCUUAGCAGAAUCAAGAAUCUGAUUCAAGAGUCUGUGAAAGCUCAUUGUUUGGUUAAUGGUUGAGUUGUCGGAAGCUUAGUGACGUUGAAUGUCUUGAUUCAGGUUUUGAAGGUCUUGGUCUUGUCUCAGUCUCGUCUCUGUCUCAGACUAAAAGAGGACACAGUAUUUUAUUUUAUGACACUUGAAAAAAAUAAAAUUUCUUUGGAGUUUUUGUGAAGGGAGUGUGAUGCAACAUCGGCCUGCUUUAUAGUCUGCUUUUUAGUCUCGGCCAAUUGUCAAAGCUCUUGUCUCCUUUAUUAUUCUUUUUGUUGAUAUUAUGUGAUGUACGUAUGCUUUCUCUUUUGUAUGUUCCUGUUCUCAACUUGAA